rnacentral:rRNA from 1 species
GAUGAACGCUGACAGAAUGCUUAACACAUGCAAGUCCACUUGAACUUCGGUUUGGGUGGCGGACGGGUGAGUAACGCGUAAAGAACUUGCCUCACAGCUAGGGACAACAUUUGGAAACGAAUGCUAAUACCUGAUAUUAUGAUUAUAUGGCAUCGUAUAAUUAUGAAAGCUAUAUGCGCUGUGAGAGAGCUUAGCGUCCCAUUAGCUAGUUGGAGAGGUAACAGCUCACCAAGGCGAUGAUGGGUAGCCGGCCUGAGAGGGUGAUCGGCCACAAGGGGACUGAGACACGGCCCUUACUCCUACGGGAGGUAGCAGUGGGGAAUAUUGGACAAUGGACCGAGAGUCUGAUCCAGCAAUUCUGUGUGCACGAUGAAGUUUUUCGGAAUGUAAAGUGCUUUCAGUUGGGAAGAAAAAAAUGACGGUACCAACAGAAGAAGAGACGGCUAAAUACGUG